ensembl:snRNA U4 U4 spliceosomal RNA
AGCUUUGCGCAGCGGCAGUAUCGUAGCCAAUGAGGUUUAUCGGAGGCGCAAUUAUUGUUAAAUGUCUUGCUACUCUUAUGAACAAAGGUUAAUUUUAACUUCUAAGAGAAAAAUAUUAUUUAUAGAAAAAUGAAACAUGUUGGGUUCAUUUUUUCCCUAAUGUUCCCCAAAAUGUUUGAAAAAGCCGUGUAGCA